GCUGGCUGGGACUCAGUGGCAGAACAUCUGCUUUGUAUGCAGAAGGUCUCUGGUUUAAUUCCCAGAAGCUCCAGCU